CUACGGGGUGCUGCAGUGAGGAAUAUUGCACAAUGGGGGGAACCCUGAUGCAGCAACGCCGCGUGGAGGAUGACGCAUUUCGGUGUGUAAACUCCUUUUAUAUGUCAAGAAAAUGACGGUAGCAUAUGAAUAAGCGCCGGCUAACUCCGUGCCAGCAGCCGCGGUAAUACGGAGGGCGCAAGCGUUACUCGGAAUCACUGGGCGUAAAGGACGCGUAGGCGGGUUGAAAAGUCAGGUGUGAAAGCCUACAGCUUAACUGUAGAACUGCACUUGAAACUCUCAAUCUAGAGUAUGGGAGGGGCAGAUGGAAUUAGUGGUGUAGGGGUAACAUCCGUAGAUAUCACUAGGAAUACCUGAAGCGAAGGCGAUCUGCUGGAACAUUACUGACGCUAAGGCGUGAAAGCGUGGGGAGCAAACAGGAUUAGAUACCCGAGUAGUC
rnacentral:rRNA from 1 species